UAAUUGAUCCUAAAAUUUCGUAAGAAUUCCAAUAUCUUAAUUAUUUAGCCAAUUACCAAUUUUUAAAAAGUCUAAUUAAAAUUAAUCUAUACAGAAAAUUUGAUUAAAUUAAUUAAGAUUCUAACCAUCCUAACUAAGUCAACAUCCUAAUUAAAUCAAGUUAGAAUUGCUUCCAUUUAUGAUUUCUUCUGAGAUUUUCUGCUUAUCAGGUUCCGUGAAAGGAGUGCAGAAUGAUGAAAGAUGGAGAAAGGUUGAAGAAAUGGUUGCAAUGUUGAAGAAAUAGUUGAAAGGUUGAAGAAAUGGUUGAAAGGUAUUGAAGGAAUCAUUGAAAAGUUGAAGAAAAUGGUUACAAGUGAGUAUUUAUAGAACUUUUUUAUUUCUGUUAGAGAUUUUCCAUUCAGUUAUAAAGUCUGUUAGAUGGUUUUGAUUCAGUUAUCGAGUUGGUUACAGCGGUUAGUUUCAAGUGAGAGUUGGUUAGAAGUUUAGAUGCAGAUGAAAAUAAUUGAAAUUAACUUGAAAUGUAACUUAAAUUCUGUCUGAAAUACUGCUAUGAAAAUUUUGUUAUGACAGUUAAUGGAGUUUCCUGUUAGCCUUUCGCAGUUAGUUAAAGUUGAUUUUCCCUGUUUAAAAACUGCUAAAUAUUUCAUGAACUGCUGCUAUCCAUUUUUGUCAAUGUGUGGCCUGUGUUGUGAACUUUUUCUGUUAGAAAAUACAAUUAUUAAUUUGUGAUGUUAGGUUGAUUAAUUUGUUAUUGCUAGUUUUGAGUUUGGAAAUUGGUGACUACAACAGUUAGAUUAAUCAGUAACUUAGAAUUGACUCUUGGAAUAGGUAAUAACAAUUAAUUCCCAUGGGUUUCAUAACAGGUUUUGGAAGUGAUUAGUCAUUGUUCUUGCGCAUGUUUAUUCCGUGUUUGCUGCAGAAUCGCAUUUUUUAUUGGCUCAGCAUUGCAUUGGUUCAGAAUUGUUUCGGAUCAACUCUGUUUUGAUUCGGUAAGUUCUGUUUUGGUUUGGAAUAGCGUUUGCAAUUGGGAUUACCUUUUGGCUCUGGUUUGUGUUCAACUGAAGAGAAAAUGCGGUUUUUCGACGUCGCUCACAAACCACUAUUUUGCUUCCUUUACUUGAUUCUAGCUUAGACUUAAACUUAUUGUUGCUACUUCUUGCCGGUGCUGAAUUUUUGGUUGUUAUGGUUGUGCAGGUCGGUUGAACAUGUUUGCGUAUGGAGUGAUUGAUUUGGAAGGUGGAAACGUUAUCUUCAUGAAUGGAUUAUUUUGUUUUGUGUAGUUUAUAAUUAGUUUUGGAAAUUCUGUAACUUUGGAUGGGAAUGAAUCAUGAAUUGGAAACAUGGAUUAACUUGUAAGUAAAUGAAGAAUGGGUUUGUAUGGAAUGUCAAUAAAUUGUAUAUUAAACGGGAAUCGUAAUAAGCUUAUGGAAAUAUUAUGAAUACAAACUUAGAAAUUUGUGAAUGGCAUUGAAUGUAAGUUUGGGAGAUUUGGAAUGAUUUGAAAUGGCAAAUGUAUUGGGACUAAAUGGUGUACAAUGUUGAAUGGUUUACAUCGAAA
rnacentral:lncRNA from 1 species